GUAGGGUGGCGAGCGUUGUCCGGAAUUAUUGGGGCGUAAAGCGCGCGCAGGCGGUCCUUUAAGUCCGAUGUGAAAGCCCACGGCUCAACCGUGGAGGGUCAUUGGAAACUGGGGGACUUGAGUACAGAAGAGGAAAGCGGAAUUCCAAGUGUAGCGGUGAAAUGCGUAGAGAUUUGGAGGAACACCAGUGGCGAAGGCGGCUUUCUGGUCUGUAACUGACGCUGAGGCGCGAAAGCGUGGGGAGCAAACAGGAUUAGAUACCCUGGUAGUCCACGCCGUAAACGAUGAGUGCUAAGUGUUAGGGGGUUUCCGCCCCUUAGUGCUGCAGCUAACGCAUUAAGCACUCCGCCUGGGGAGUACGGCCGCAAGGCUG
rnacentral:rRNA from 1 species